rnacentral:misc_RNA from 1 species
ACUUACACAACUUGGCAAAACAUAAAUAUACCAUUGAUAUACCAAAAGUCUGCUAGUUCACAAAUAAAUAGAUCCCAAAGACCAACUAAAGACAACCAAAACUCAGGCCCUCAAACAUAUAAUCAGGCCAGAAAUCCAAGCAGUUCACCAGAUCAUUUAACUUAAUAAAACCAAACAAGAUAAAUGCCAACUUCCCUCACCUUAGUCGACCUCCUCAAUCUUAGGACCAGCA